rnacentral:rRNA from 1 species
AUUGAACGCUGGCGGAAUGCUUUACACAUGCAAGUCGAACGGCAGCACGGACUUCGGUCUGGUGGCGAGUGGCGAACGGGUGAGUAAUGUAUCGGAACGUGCCCAGUCGUGGGGGAUAACGUAGUGAAAAUUACGCUAAUACCGCAUACGAUCUAUGGAUGAAAGCGGGGGAUCGCAAGACCUCGCGCGAUUGGAGCGGCCGAUAUCAGAUUAGGUAGUUGGUGGGGUAAAGGCCCACCAAGCCAACGAUCUGUAGCUGGUCUGAGAGGACGACCAGCCACCAUGGAACUGAGACACGGUCCAGACUCCUACGGGAGGCAGCAGUGGGGAAUUGUGGACAAUGGGCGAAAGCCUGAUCCAGCCAUUCCGCGUGCAGGAUGAAGGCCCUCGGGUUGUAAACUGCUUUUGUACAGAACGAAAAGGUUUCUACUAAUACUAGGAGCUCAUGACGGUACUGUAAGAAUAAGCACCGGCUAACUACGUGCCAGCAGCCGCCGUAA